GCAUUGGUGCUUCAGUGGUAGAACUCUUGCCUUCCAUGCAGAAGACCCGGGUUCGAUUCCCGGCCAACGCA
rnacentral:tRNA from 1 species